UAAUAGCUGAGUUUGGUGAUGGCUCUGAUUGAAUGCUGUCCAAGUGCUUGACACAUGCUAAUCGUACGUUUUAAUUUAUAUACUAUUGCUAUAACGCAACGUAAGUUACGUUAAAGUUAAGGUUACAAAUUAAAAAGUGGUGUACAGGUGAGUAUAAUGAUAUUCUUUGCCGACCUUAAAGUGAAGGUAAAUCCUUCAUAAUGAAUAAAGGGAAAUAAAUUCCCGCUUUAAGAGGAUAAUAAAUAUCUUCGAGAUAGGUAGUAGUUAAGGUGAUGGCUUAACUAGCCUGAAACUCUCGUAGUCGAAUCUGAAAGGUUGAUCGACCACAUUGGGUCUGAAAAAACCCCAAUGCAAGUUAGUACAGCAGUGAGGAAUAUUGGUCAAUGGCCUAACGGCUGAACUGGCAACUUGGAGAAGUGGCAAGUCCUACUUUGAUUAUAUCAUAGAAUAUAAUCUAUAGGAUUGUAUUAAAAUUGAAUAAAGCUUUGUUUAUAUAUUGAUAAUGACAGUAUAUAUAUCGUGUCUUGACUAAUUACGUGCCAGCAGUCGCGGUAAUACGUAAGAGACUAGUGUUAUUCAUCUUAAUUAGGUUUAAAGGGUACCUAGACGGUCAAUAUAGCUUCUAGAAUGUUAGUACUUGACUAGAGUUUUAUGUAAGAGGGUAGUACUUGAGGAGGAGAGAUGAAAUUCUAUGAUACCUAAGGGACUCGGUAAAGGCGAAGGCAACCCUCUAUGUAAAAACUGACGUCGAAGGACGAAGGCACAGAGAACAAACAGGAUUAGAUACCCAAGUAGUCUUUGCAGUAAAUGAUGAAUGCCAUAGGUCAGAUUAAGAUUUAAUAACUUAGUUCUUCAGUAAGGAACUAAAUAUUAAACAUUAUUUGGUCUAUAAAUGAAAGUGUAAGCAUUUCACCUCAAGAGUAAUGUGGCAACGCAGGAACUGAAAUCACUAGACCGUUUCUGACACCAGUAGUGAAGUAUGUUGUUUAAUUCGAUGAUCCACGAAAAACCUUACCACAAUUUGUAUAAUUAUUACAGGAGUUGCACGGCUGUUUUCAGUUAAUGUUGUGAAACUGUGGUUUCCAUGAAAUUAACGCAAUCCCUGGCUUUAUUUUUUAAAUAUUUACGAUAAAGCAUUUGAUCCUGGAAUUUGGAAAGAAAAAGGGGACAAAGACAAGUCAUCAUGGCCUUGAUAUUGUGGGCUAUAGACGUGCCACAUAUUCCUAAACAAAGAGAUGCAAAAAUGUGAAUUUAAGCUAAUCUCAAAAAAUAGGAUAUAAGUUUUAAGGAUUGUAGUCUGAAACUCGACUAUAUGAAUAAGUAAUUACUAGUAAUCGUGAAUCACCAUGUCACGGUGAAUUAACCUUGGAUUGGUACUAACCACUCGUCACAUGCUGAAAAGAGCAUGCGCAAUAAGUUUGCUUUCUUAAUGAUUAGUAAAAAAAACAUGUAGGUUUUAUACAUUCUAUUAUUAGGGAUCUUCGUAUGCGUGGCUCUAAUUAGUGUUAAGUCGAAAUACGGUUCGCGUAGUGGAAGUUGCGCGGGGAAAAUUAACCUG
rnacentral:rRNA from 1 species